rnacentral:rRNA from 1 species
AGUCGAACGAACACCUUAUUCUGAUUUCUUCGGAAUGAAAAAUUUGGUGACUGAGUGGCGGACGGGUGAGUAACGCGUGGGUAACCUGCCUCAUACAGGGGGAUAACAGUUAGAAAUGACUGCUAAUACCGCAUAAGACCACAGCACCGCAUGGUGCAGGGGUAAAAACUCCGGUGGUAUGAGAUGGACCCGCGUCUGAUUAGGUAGUUGGUGGGGUAACGGCCUACCAAGCCGACGAUCAGUAGCCGACCUGAGAGGGUGACCGGCCACAUUGGGACUGAGACACGGCCCAAACUCCUACGGGAGGCAGCAGUGGGGAAUAUUGCACAAUGGGGGAAACCCUGAUGCAGCGACGCCGCGUGAGCGAUGAAGUAUUUCGGUAUGUAAAGCUCUAUCAGCAGGGAAGAAAAUGACGGUACCUGACUAAGAAGCACCGGCUAAAUACGUGCCAGCAGCCGCGGUAAUACGUAUGGUGCAAGCGUUAUCCGGAUUUACUGGGUGUAAAGGGAGCGUAGACGGAGUGGCAAGUCUGAUGUGAAAACCCGGGGCUCAACCCCGGGACUGCAUUGGAAACUGUCAAUCUGGAGUACCGGAGAGGUAAGCGGAAUUCCUAGUGUAGCGGUGAAAUGCGUAGAUAUUAGGAGGAACACCAGUGGCGAAGGCGGCUUACUGGACGGUAACUGACGUUGAGGCUCGAAAGCGUGNGGAGCAAACAGGAUUAGANACCCUGGUAGUCCACGCCGUAAACGAUGACUACUAGGUGUCGGGCA